CUUUAAGAACCUAGAGAAAAAAGAACAUGUCAGGCGCCAAAGAAAUGUAAUAAAGUAAAUAAAGUUGAGAGCUAAAAAUCAGUGACAUAGAAAACAGGUUAACAAUAGGAAAAAAGUCAAUGAAACCUAAAGGUGUUAUUUUUUUUUAAACGAGCAAUGAAAUUGAUAAACCUACCCCAGCACUGUCCAAUAGAACUUUCUGUGAUGUUAGAAAAGUUCUCUAACUUCACUAAACUAGACUGUUGCCACUAGCCACAUGUGGCUCUUAAGAACCUAAAAUAUAGGGUUGGGUUGUAGCUCGGUGGUGGAGUACUUGCCUAGCACAUGGGAGUCACUGGGUUUGAAAUGUGGCUGGUACAUUUGAAACUGAAGUUUUAAUUUUAUUUAAUGAAUUUAAACUUACACAGUCACGUAUAGUGUCUGUUUCAUUGGACAGUGCAAUAUCAGAAGACAGAAAGCUAUUAUCUGGAAUGAAAGAGUAAAGACAAUUACAUAUCCUAUCAAUGUCAAAAGUUUGAGGGGGAGAUUAUGUACACUUACAUCAAUAAAUUAAACAACUUUUGUGAAAUGGAUAAAUUCCUUGGUUGUAAACAAUGCCAAAAUUGAUCCAAGGAAACAGGAAACCCAAAGAAUCUUUUAUCUGUUAAUGAUAUGGAAUUCAUAAUUAAAAUCUUUGCCAUAUAUAAACACAAAUUCAGGCCCUGAUAAAUCAAGAGUGAAAGAAAUAAUUUGCCAGCUCUCAACCCCUUCAGGUUAUAGAGGAUCAGGGAACACAAUCCAAAUCAUAUUUUGAGGUCAGUAUUCUUUGCUACCAAAACAUGACUUUAUGAUGUUGGAUAUAAAAAUCUUGAAUUAAAUAAGAAAGCACCAAAUUCAGCAGUAUAUUAAAGGAUCAUAUGUGAGGAUCAAAUUAAAUUUAUUCCAGGAAUAAAAGAUAGUAUUGACAAUAGUGUUAGCAUUUAUGAUAAACUGAGUUAGUCAACUUUUAGCAAUAAGAGAUUUAUUUGGCUCACAGAUUUAGAGGUUCCUGUCCAUGAUUGGUUGUCCCUAUUGCUUUGGGCAAGUUAGAUGGUGGGGAUAUAUAACAGAGCAGAACUGCUCGCCUGAUGGAUGAAAGUGAUCUAGGGAAGAGUAAGAGACUGAGAUCUCAGAAUCCCUUUUGAGGACACAUACCCAAUGAUCCAAAUAUCCCCCAUUAGGCCCAAGUUCUUAAAGUUUUCAACACCUCUCAGUAAUACCAAGCCAGGGAUCAAAUGUCUUGACACUUGGGCCUUUGGGAGACACUCAAAAUUUAAACCAUAGCAACAAUCAAAUCAAUUUAUAGUGUUGACCACCUAAAAAAGAACAAGCAUAUGAUCAUUUUAUUAGCUAGAGAAAAAGAGUUUGUCAUAAUUCCAUUUUUUAAAACCCUUUUAACAUUUCAGGAGUAGAAAGCAUCUUGUUCAUUUUAUAAAAGAUAUGUAUGAAAAUCUUGUAGAAAACUUUUCCCCUAAUUUUAAGAGUAUACCCAGGGACAUCUGCUUUUGCUACUCAGAACAUUCUAUUGAAGGUCAUCAGCAGAGCAAUAAGGCAACAAAAAGAAAUAAAAGGUAUAGAAGUUAAAAGAGAGGGAGUGGACAAUAUAAGCAUUAAUAUAGAAAAUCAAGAAGUCUAAAAAUGGUCUUAGAAUUAAAAAAGAUGCCAGGUAAAUAGUAAGGCAAAUUAAAUUGUAAUAUUAUAGCUGUGCACACUAGGAAAAUGGGACUUAUAAAUUCCAUUAGCCAUGUAUCUCAGCCAACUUCUAGAUAUAACAACUAGAUAUACUUCUAGAUAUAGUUCCUUUCCCAUUUUACAAGAGUUGUUUUGUGUCACAGAAAGCACAAGGCAAAAGUGAUAAAAUGUCACAAGGUUAAAUCAUAAGACUUACCCAUCUUGGGUACUUUUUACUUGCUUUCACAUUGGUGUCUCAGAGAAGUUGGCAUUUGUGACCUGUCCUAUUGAGAGUCCCAGUGAAGCCUCAACCAACAGGUAGUAAGAAUAUGAAGCAAAUGACUUUAGAAGCAGCUUCUUCAGCCUCAUUUCAGUCUUUAGAUGACUACAGCCUUGCUUGACAGCUUGAAUACAAGUUCAUAAUUAGAUCUUGAGUGAGAACCACUCAACUAAGCAACUCCUCCUGAAUUGUUAUUUCUUUAGAAACUCUGAGAUGAUAGCUGUUGUUUUAAAUUGUUGGGGUUUGCAGUAAUUAAUAUGCAGUGGAUAACUAAUACAACAUACACAAACAUGAGGUAAUUAGGGAUAAAUUUAACAAAUAUGUGUAAGUCUUAAAUAUCCCUGAGAGCAUUUAAAAAUACAACAAAGACAGUUGUAGUUUUGUAUUAUGAGAUACCAGUUUUUUCUCAUAUAAUCUAUAAAUUAAAUAUAAUCCCAGUGAAUAUCACAGCAAGUGUUUGGUAGAAAUUCAUAAGCUGAAUUGUAGACCACUUGGAAUGACCAGAAUAAUUCCAAAGAGGUAGUCUGUAGAACUUAACACUAUAUAAUUUCAAGACUAAAAUGAUUAUUAUAUUGUUCUCUUGGUGUAAGGAUCAGGUGAUCAGUGAAUAAAAUAGAGUACAGAAAUGGAUCAACACAUAUGGUCAAAUUUCCACAAAGGUGCUGAGAUAAUUCAGUGGGAUAAAGGAUAGUCUUUCAAACAAAUGGUAAUGAAAAACUAUAUCCAUAUGUUAUAAGAGAACUUUGACUUUUACUGUCUAACACAUGUAAAAAUUAAAUGGCUCAGAAAGUUCUUUAUAAGACCAAAACUUUUAAAUUUGUAGAAGAAAACCUGAGAGGAAAUCUUUGUAGUCUUGGGACAGGCAAGGAUUUCUUAGAUUGGACAUACAAACAUGAACUGUAGAAGGUAAAUGUUACUAAAUUAGAGCUCACUGAAUUGAAAACUUCUGCUUUCCAAGUAAUGGUAAGAGG
rnacentral:lncRNA from 1 species